GCCACCGUAGUUCAACUGGAUAGAACAAGCCCCUCCUAAGGGUUAGAUCCGGAUUCGAGUUCCGGCGGAGGCACCA
rnacentral:tRNA from 1 species